UCAAACUGCGCAGUAUUGAGUUGUUCUAUCGUAAUAUUUUGUUUCAUCGCUAUUCAACGAAAGUUUAUGAAAAACUAUAGGCAAUUUUGCAGAUAUUGGAUAAAUUUUAUAUAUUUGACAGAUAUUUACGAUUGCCGUUGAAUGUUCAUCAAUCAAUUUAUUGUGGCUGAAGAUAUUUAUUCAUCAAAAAGUAAAUAAGAACUAAUAAUAAGAAACAUUGACCGCCGUUAAGAAGUUUAUCCACGAACUUAUGAUUAGUACUCACCAUUACCGAUUUCUUGUCACUAUGAUGAAGAUUGCCACGAAUGGAAAAAGUUAUAACGUUUUUCUUGAACAUAAAAUGUGUAAAGAGAAUAAAAAAUGGUAUUCAGGUAUCGGAGUGUAGCAGAAUGAUAAAACAUAGAAGGAGAGAAUAGAAACAAGAUUGGAAUGGGAAUGGAAUCUGGAUAGAGGCGCGCAUGCGUCGACCCCGUUCAUUCACUCCUCCAAAUCAUUCAUAAAUCGCGGAAUCCUACGCUUGUAAUCUUCGCACUUCUCGCAAUUAAUGAUAAAACAAUGCAUAUU